GUAUAGCCGUGAUGGAAACGGUAUCUUAUUUUUUGUUGUACUUCGACAGGCUCAGUAUGACAAAAAAUAAAUAAAGUGGACAGCACGAUAACUG
rnacentral:sRNA from 1 species